CAGCAGCCGCGGGAAUACGUAGGGUGCGAGCGUUAAUCGGAAUUACUGGGCGUAAAGCGUGCGCAGGCGGUUGUGUAAGACAGGUGUGAAAUCCCCGGGCUUAACCUGGGGACUGCGCUUGUGACUGCACAGCUAGAGUAUGGCAGAGGGGGGUGGAAUUCCACGUGUAGCAGUGAAAUGCGUAGAGAUGUGGAGGAACACCGAUGGCGAAGGCAGCCCCCUGGGCCAAUACUGACGCUCAUGCACGAAAGCGUGGGGAGCAAACAGGAUUAGAUACCCGUGUAGUCCCUGUCUCUUAUAC
rnacentral:rRNA from 1 species